rnacentral:rRNA from 1 species
UCUUCCGCAAUGGACGAAAGUCUGACGGAGCAACGCCGCGUGAGCGAAGAAGGUCUUCGGAUCGUAAAGCUCUGUUGUCAGGGAAGAACAAGUGCCGUUCGACAAGGUCGGUACCUUGACGGUACCUGACGAGAAAGCCCCGGCUAACUACGUGCCAGCAGCCGCGGUAAUACGUAGGGGGCGAGCGUUGUCCGGAAUCAUUGGGCGUAAAGCGCGCGCAGGCGGUCCUUUAAGUCUGAUGUGAAAUCUUGCGGCUUAACCGCAAGCGGUCAUUGGAAACUGGAGGACUUGAGUGCAGGAGAGGGAAGCGGAAUUCCAUGUGUAGCGGUGAAAUGCGUAGAUAUAGGAAGGAACACCAGUGGCGAAGGCGACUACCUGGACUGAUACUGACACUGAGGUGCGAAAGCGUGGGGAGCAAACA